rnacentral:rRNA from 1 species
GUAGGGAAUAUUGGACAAUGGGGGGAACCCUGAUCCAGCCAUGCCGCGUGGAGGAAGACUGCCCUCUGGGUUGUAAACUCCUUCUAUAUGGGAAGAACCGUCCUCAUUAAUGAGUGACCUGACGGUACCAUAGGAAUAAGCACCGGCUAACUCCGUGCCAGCAGCCGCGGUAAUACGGAGGGUGCAAGCGUUAUCCGGAUUCACUGGGUUUAAAGGGUGCGUAGGCGGAUAAAUAAGUCAGUGGUGAAAUCAACGGGCUCAACCUGUUAACUGCCAUUGAUACUGUGUAUCCUGAAUAUGAGAGAGGUAGGCGGAAUGUUGCAUGUAGCGGUGAAAUGCUUAGAUAUGCUACGGAACACCGAUUGCGAAGGCAGCUUACUAUUUCGUAAUUGACGCUGAGGCACGAAAGCGUGGGUAGCGAACAGGAUUAGAUACCCCAGUAGUCC